rnacentral:misc_RNA from 1 species
AAGAAUUCGACCUCGCGGUCUUUUCUUCUCCCACAGCUGUGCGCUUCGGCUGCACGCCGUGGGAUAAACCUCACACACCCGUGCACACUUCGGUCGCGGACGGCCUCACGGUCGAACGCUUCCGCUUUUACAUACAACUACCGCAGUCUCGAAUGUCAAAUACCAUAAACAUUAA